AUUGAACGCUGGCGGUAGGCCUAACACAUGCAAGUCGAGCGGAAGAAUGGAGCUUGCUUCUGGAUUCAGCGGCGGACGGGUGCGUAAUUCCUUGGAAUCUGCCUGGCUGUGGUGGAUAACGUCCGUAAACGGGCGCUAAUACCGCAUAUGCCCCGUGCGAGACAUUUUGGGCUCUUCGGACCUCACGCUAUCAGAUCAGCCUAGGUCGGAUUAGCUAAUUGGUGGGGUAAAGGCCUACCAAGGCGACGAUCCGUAACUGGUCGGAGAGGAUGAUCAGUCCCACUGGAACUGAAACGCGGCCCAGACCACUACGGGAGGCAGCGGAGGAGAAUAGUAGACAAGGGGAGAAAGCCUGAUCCAGACAUGCCGAGUGUGUGAAAAAAGUACUCGGAUUGUAAAGCAAUUUAAGUUGGGAGGAGGGACAGUAAGUUAAUACCUUGCUGUUUUGACGGUACCGAAAGAAUAAGCACCGGCUAACUUCGUG
rnacentral:rRNA from 1 species